rnacentral:tRNA from 1 species
GCCUGGGUGGCUCAGUCGGUUGAGCAUCUGACUUCAGCUCAGGUCAUGAUCUCAUAGUCUGUGAGUUCGAGCCCCGUGUUGGGCU